rnacentral:tRNA from 1 species
CAGAAGAUAGUUUAAAAAAAAUUUUAAUUUUGGAGAUUAAAGACAAGAGUAUCUUCUUUCUUCUGA